rnacentral:tRNA from 1 species
GGAGGUGUGGCUCAGUGGUAGAGUGUUCACCUAGCAUGUGCAAGGCAUUGGGUUCAAUCCUCAGCACUACAU